rnacentral:piRNA from 1 species
ACCCCUUUGCAGUGACAGAAGCC